ACAUCAGCUAGUACCAUCCUUGUUGAAAUCAACCGUGGCUUGAAGAACAGCUGUCUAUGGAGAUCAAGUAUCCAUCAACAGUUUCUCGUUAACUAAGUCACUUCAAGAUGCUCCUUGAACUAUUAAGUUGAUUCAAAUUAGAUGCUUAGUCACUGGGAAAAAAAAAAAAACACAACAAAAAACACAACCAACAAAAAGCCAAGCAGGAGUCACUAUAUAGGAAGAGGAGAUGACUGCAGUUGUUAUUCUUGAAGUCAGAAACACUUUGCCUGGGGAUGAUGAUCGUAUGUGACACUGUUGCAGAACCACCCUCAUGAAGCAUGACUGUGCUCCUGAUCUGCCAUUUAUUCAAUAUCCUACACUAACUUUAGUUUCUGUCCAAUCUCACCAAAUGACGUGUCUAUUAGAUGUAGAUGGUGUGUGAAGUCAGUACAAAUUUAUCUGAAGCACAAAACUCUAAAAGGCUGUUUUCUUCAAUUUGUAAAGUUCCCUAGGAACACACGUGUUAAAAACCUGCACAAGAAGGAUGGACUUCACCU